rnacentral:rRNA from 1 species
GAUGAACGCUGGCGGUAUGCUUAACACAUGCAAGUCGAACGGACUCUUCGGAGUUAGUGGCGGACGGGUGAGUAACGCGUGAGAAUCUGGCUUUGGGUUCGGGACAACCACUGGAAACGGUGGCUAAUACCGGAUGUGCCGAGAGGUAAAAGAGAAAUUGCCUGAAGAUGAGCUCGCGUCUGAUUAGCUAGUUGGUGAGGUAAAGGCUCACCAAGGCAGCGAUCAGUAGCUGGUCUGAGAGGAUGACCAGCCACACUGGGACUGAGACCCGGCCCAGACCCCCCGGGGGGGAAGCGGGGGGGAAUUUUCCGCAAUGGGAGAAAGCCUGAAGGAACAAUACCGGGGGGGGGAAGAAGGCUCUUGGGUUUUAAACCUCUUUUCUUAGGGAAGAAAAAAAUGGCGGUACCUAAGGAAUCAGCAUCGGCAAACCCCGU